rnacentral:rRNA from 1 species
CCUACGGGAGGCAGCAGUGGGGAAUAUUGGGCAAUGGAGGCAACUCUGACCCAGCAACGCCGCGUGAAUGAUGAAGGUCUUCGGAUUGUAAAGUUCUGUGAUGGUGGAUGAACACAAUGACGGUACCCCAAUAGCAAGCCACGGCUAACUACGUGCCAGCAGCCGCGGUAAUACGUAGGUGGCAAGCGUUAUCCGGAAUGACUGGGCGUAAGGGGUGCGUAGGUGGUUUAGUAAGUUGGCGGUGUAAUUCCGGGGCUCAACCUCGGUGCUACCGCCAAAACUAUUAGACUAGAGUGCAGGAGGGGUAAGUGGAAUUCCUAGUGUAGCGGUGGAAUGCGUAGAUAUUAGGAGGAACAUCAGGGGCGAAGGCGACUUACUGGACUGUAACUGACACUGAGGCACGAAAGCGUGGGGAGCAAACAGGAUUAGAUACCCUAGUAGUC